AUUAUUUGAGGUGGAAAAUUUCGCACGAUCCACACGCCGCUGGUACAGACAAGGGAAACCUGAGAGAUGCAGGAGAAGCGUGCGCCUGCCAAAUAAU
rfam:Clostridium sp. CAG:7 genomic scaffold, scf126